rnacentral:rRNA from 1 species
UACAGAGGGGGCAAGCGUUGUUCGGAAUUACUGGGCGUAAAGGGCGCGUAGGCGGCCUUCUAAGUCGAACGUGAAAUCCCUGGGCUCAACCCAGGAACUGCGUCCGAUACUGGAAGGCUUGAAUCCGGGAGAGGGAUGCGGAAUUCCAGGUGUAGCGGUGAAAUGCGUAGAUAUCAGGAGGAACACCGGUGGCGAAGGCGGGUCUCUGGGACGGUACUGACGCUGAGACGCGAAAGCGUGGGGAGCGAACAGG